UACGGGGGGGGCAAGCGUUGUUCGGAAUUACUGGGCGUAAAGGGCGCGUAGGCGGCCUUCUAAGUCAGACGUGAAAUCCCUCGGCUCAACCGAGGAACUGCGUCUGAUACUGGAAGGCUUGAAUCCGGGAGAGGGAUGUGGAAUUCCAGGUGUAGCGGUGAAAUGCGUAGAUAUCGGGAAGAACACCCGUGGCGAAGGCGGCUCUCUGGACCACUACUGACGCUGAGGCGCGAAAGCUAGGGGAGCAAACAGG
rnacentral:rRNA from 1 species